AUUGAACGCUGGCGGCAGGCCUAACACAUGCAAGUCGAACGAGUGGCGCACGGGUGAGUAAUGUCUGGGAAACUGCCCGAUGGAGGGGGAUAACUACGAGAAACAGUAGCUAAUACCGCAUACCAUCGGAUGUGCCCAGAUGGGUUUGGAUUGGAGGUGGGGUAACGGCUCACAUAGGCGGCGCUCCCUAGCUGGUCUGAGAGGAUGACCAGCCACACUGGGACUGAGACACGGUCCAGACUCCUACGGGAGGCAGCAGUGGGGAAUAUUGCACAAUGGGCGCAAGCCUGAUGCAGCCAUGCCGCGUGUAUGAAGAAGGCCUUAGGGUUGUAAAGUACUUUCAGCGAGGAGGCGUUACCUGCAGAAGAAGCACCGGCUAACUCCGUGCCAGCAGCCGCGGUAAUUC
rnacentral:rRNA from 1 species